GCCUGGGUGGCUCAGUCGGUUGAGCGUCCGACUUUGGCUCAGGUCAUGAUCUAGAGGCUCGUGAGUUCGAGCCCCGCAUCAGGCU
rnacentral:tRNA from 1 species